rnacentral:rRNA from 1 species
AGUGAACGCUGGCGGUAGGCCUAACACAUGCAAGUCGAACGGCAGCACAGGAGAGCUUGCUCUCUGGGCGGCGAGUGGCGGACGGGUGAGGAAUACAUCGGAAUCUACUCUGUCGUGGGGGAUAACGUAGGGAAACUUACGCUAAUACCGCAUACGACCUACGGGUGAAAGCAGGGGACCUUCGGGCCUUGCGCGAUUGAGUGAGCCGAUGUCGGAUUAGCUAGUUGGCGGGGUAAAGGCCCACCAAGGCGACGAUCCGUAGCUGGUCUGAGGGGAUGAUCAGACACACUGGAACUGCGAAACGGUCCAGGAUCCUACGGGAGGCAGCAGUGGGGAAUAUUGGACAAUGGGCGCAAGCCUGAUCCAGCCAUACCGCGUGGGUGAAGAAGGCCGUCGGGUUGUAAAGCCCUUUUGUUGGGAAAGAAAUCCAGCUGGCUAAUACCCGGUUGGGAUGACGGUACCCAAAGAAUAAGCACCGGCUAACUUCGUGCCAGCAGCCGCGGUAA